UACGUAGGGGGCAAGCGUUGUCCGGAUUUAUUGGGCGUAAAGAGCGCGUAGGCGGCCUGGAAGGUCAGCUGUGAAAACUCGAGGCUCAACCUCGAGACGUCGGUUGAAACCACCUGGCUAGAGUCCGGAAGAGGAGAAUGGAAUUCCCGGUGUAGCGGUGAAAUGCGCAGAUAUCGGGAAGAACACCCGUGGCGAAGGCGGUUCUCUGGGACGGUACUGACGCUGAGACGCGAAAGCGUGGGGAGCGAACAGG
rnacentral:rRNA from 1 species